UCUUGUUUUUUGUCAUUCUGUUACCAAAAAGCAGGAGAAGACAGGCCCAAAAUAUUUUUUGGGAAUGGGAACACGGUGUGAAUCCGUGACUGUGCCGCAGCGGUAUUUUGAAGAGCUUGCACUGAGCGAGCAAAGCGAAUCGAAAAGUCCGAAGACCGACAAGAUUCUGAAAAUGCUCG
rnacentral:ncRNA from 27 species